rnacentral:rRNA from 1 species
GACGAACGCUGGCGGCGUGCUUAACACAUGCAAGUCGAACGGAAAGGCACUGAUUUUGUGGGGUGCUGGAGGGGGGAACGGGUGAGUGAGAGGUGAGUAACCUGCUCUUGACUUUGGGAUAGCUUCAGGAAACGGGGGCUAAUACAGGAUAGGAGACCCUGUUGCGGUGAGGGGGGUGGAACGUCGCUGCUGGAGUGGAUGGAUUCGCGGCUUAUCAGCUAGCUGGUGGGGGAGUGGCUUACCAAGGGUUUGACGGGUAGGCGGCCUGGGAGGGUGACCGGCCACCAUGGGACUGAGGGACGGCGCAGUGUCCAACGGUAGACAGCAGGGGCGAAUAUUGUCCAAUGGGCGCGAGCCGGAUGCAGCAACGCCGCGGUUGGGAUGCCGGCCUUCUGGUUGUAAACCGCUUUCGCCUGAGACGAAGCGGGAGUGACGGUAAUGGGUAAAUAAGCACCGGCUAACUACGUG